rnacentral:rRNA from 1 species
UACAGAGGGUGCAAGCGUUUAAUCGGAAUUACUGGGCGUAAAGCGUGCGUAGACGGUUAUGUAAGUCGGGUGUGAAAGCCCCGGGCUCAACCUGGGAAUUGCAUUCGAGACUGCAUAGCUAGGGUGCGGAAGAGGGAAGCGGAAUUUCCGGUGUAGCGGUGAAAUGCGUAGAUAUCGGAAGGAACACCAGUGGCGAAAGCGGCUUCCUGGUCCAGCACCGACGUCAGGCACGAAAGCGUGGGGAGCAAAACAGGAUUGAGAAACCCCUGGGUA